rnacentral:rRNA from 1 species
UCGAGGAUCUUUAGCAAUGCCCGAAAGGGUGACUAUGCGACGCCGCGUGCAGGAUGAAGGCUUUCGGGUUGUAAACUGCUGUCAGGGGGGAAGAAAACUCUAGGGUGAAUACCCCUAGAGCUUGACAUCACCCCCAAAGGAAGCCACGGCUAACUCUGUGCCAGCAGCCGCGGUAAGACAGAGGUGGCAAGCGUUGUUCGGAUUUAUUGGGUGUAAAGGGCAGGUAGGUGGCCUUGUAAGUUUGGCGUGAAAUCCCAGAGCUCAACUCUGGAACUGCGCUGAAAACUGCUUGGCUUGAGUGCUAGAGAGGUGAGAGGAAUUCUCGGUGUAAGGGUGAAAUCUGUAGAUAUCGAGAGGAACACCAGAGGCGAAGGCGUCUCACUGGCUGGUUACUGACACUGAGCUGCGAAAGCAAGGGGAGCAAACAGG